UACGUAGGGUGCGAGCGUUAAUCGGAAUUACUGGGCGUAAAGCGUGCGCAGGCGGUGAUGUAAGACAGAUGUGAAAUCCCCGGGCUCAACCUGGGAACUGCAUUUGUGAAUGCAUCGCUGGAGUGCGGCAGAGGGGGAUGGAAUUCCGCGUGUAGCAGUGAAAUGCGUAGAUAGGCGGAGGAACACCGAUGGCGAAGGCAAUCCCCUGGGCCUGCACUGACGCUCAUGCACGAAAGCGUGGGGAGCAAACAGG
rnacentral:rRNA from 1 species